GGGAUAGAAUUCCAGGAGUAGCGGUGAAAUGCGUAGAUAUCUGGAGGAAUACCAAAGGCGAAGGCAGUCCCCUGGUCCGAUACUGACACUGAGGUACGAAAGCGUGGGGAGCAAACAGGAUUAGAUACCCUGGUAGUCCACGCCCUAAACGAUGUCGAUUAGCCAUUGGAAGGACCCCUUUUCCUUUCAGUGACGUAGCUAACGCGUUAAAUCGACCGCCUGGGAAGUACGACCGCAAGGUUAAAACUCAAAGGAAUUGACGGGGACCUGAACAAGCGGUGAAUGAUGUGGAUUAAUUCGAUGCUACGCGAAGAACCUUACCUACCUUUGACAUGGCCAAAGUUCUACCGAGAGGCGGAAGUACUCGUAAGAGGAUUGGCGCACAGGUGCUGCAUGGUUGUCGUCAGUUCGUGUCGUGAGAUGUUGGGUUCAGUCCCGCAACGAACGCAACCCUUAUCUUUAAUUGCUCCUAUUUUAACAGGCACUUUAAAGAAACUGCCAAUGAUAAGUUGGAGGAAGGUGGGGAUCACGUCAAGUCCGCAUGGCCUUUAUAGGUAGGGCUUCACACGUCAUACAAUAGUUAGAACAAAGAGCUGCAAAUUCGUAAGAAGGAGCCAAUCUCACAAACCUAACCUCAGUUCGAAUUGCGGUCUGCAACUCGAGCGCAUGAAGCCGGAAUCGCUAGUAAUCGUGGAUCAGAAUGCCACGGUGAAUACGUUCUUAGGUCUU
rnacentral:rRNA from 1 species